UCUCUGGUAGUAUAUCGGUUAGUACACGCGCCUGUCAUUGAGCUCAAAAAGACUACCGCGCAAAAGCUGGGUUCGACUCCCAGCCAGAGAG